rnacentral:lncRNA from 1 species
CUGAAUUUUGAGGCAAUUUCUUUUGAUGUAGCUAGCAGGUGGCAGAGGUGUAUUUGAAAGUCGGCAAUAUCUUGACAGCGAUUAGAAUGUCCUCCGUCUGCUAGUCUUCUUGAUUCUUAAAUUCUGUGGAGCUCAAAUAGACAACAAAGCUUUGUGGAACUGAUUAAGUGUUAGCAUAAACAUCUAGCCUUUAUCAUGUUGAGACUCCUUAAUAAUUAGUACUCCCUGUUUUUAUAUUUUCAUUUUAUAAAGCAGAAAAGAAAAUUUUUAAUUUUAUUUUUAUGCCACCACAGUGAAUGUACUUAUGGGUUUUAUGCCACUCGUAUACUCACAAGGGGCUUACUAUUUUUUAACCUUUUUAUUUUCUUUUUAGAAUGGUAUGAACAUGAUUAACUAAGCAAACUAUUUGAAAUAAUUGAAAGGAAAAAGAUAACUACCAAGUUUACCUCUUGGCAAGGCGUUCGGUGUUUUUAAGUCCUUCGAACGGGACUCUCCAUUUUCUCAAUUGUCCUGGGAUUCGUUGGGUGGCGUAGUCGGUACUUCCGGCGGCGCCUCUUCUUCAUUUAUGGUUAUUUUCUCUUUCCAUACCUGACUCGGUGCUACGGUCUCCUCUGGAUAAUUCUGUUUAAACUGUACCUCUUCUGACCUUACAACUUCUCCUUCAUAGUCUGCCCAUCCGUCCUUGAUAAUCUGCCUCUUCUGGUUGCGGUUGCGUCGUUUUCUGACCUACUUAGAUUCUUCAACGAUAUAGUUAGGGUCAGUAAAAUAGCGGCGUACCUUCUCUGAGGGGAAGUGCAUAUGGACUUCUCCAGUUCUAAUGUAGAUGAUUGCUUUAACGGUGCUGAGGAACGGUCUUCCAAGGAUGAUGGGUGGAUCGUACUCGUCUUCUCCCAUGUCAAUAACCUGAAAGUCUGUGUAGACAAAAUGAUCGUCUAUUUUGAUAGGGACAUCAGUUACUAUUCCUUUAACUUCUCGAAAUGUUUGAUCUGCCAUCUAGAGCUGAAUGUAUGUUGGUUUUAGGGGCAUGGUUCCGAACAAGAGCCUAUAGGUGACUGCGGCCGUUAUGUUGACGCCCGAUCUGGUGUCGCAAAUCGUCUUGUAAAAGUUGUAUCCAUUUAUAGAGCAAUAGAUGCUUGGCAUUCUUGGGUCAUCCUUCUUGGUCAAAAAUGGUGACUUUAGUUGAUGAUCUUGGCCUCCAUGAACUACAGUGACCAUCUUAGCUGACUCGGUCCACACUUGCUUGUUCUUGUUCCUCCUGUUGGUCCUCUUCCUUGGUUCACGUCUGGAUUGAUCUG